AUUGAACGCUGGCGGCAGGCCUAACACAUGCAAGUCGAGCGGUAGAGAGAAGCUUGCUUCUCUUGAGAGCGGCGGACGGGUGAGUAAUGCCUAGGAAUCUGCCUGGUAGUGGGGGAUAACGUUCGGAAACGGACGCUAAUACCGCAUACGUCCUACGGGAGAAAGCAGGGGACCUUCGGGCCUUGCGCUAUCAGAUGAGCCUAGGUCGGAUUAGCUAGUUGGUGGGGUAAUGGCUCACCAAGGCGACGAUCCGUAACUGGUCUGAGAGGAUGAUCAGUCACACUGGAACUGAGACACGGUCCAGACUCCUAAGGGAGGCAGCAGUGGGGAAUAUUGGACAAUGGGCGAAAGCCUGACCCAGCCAUGCCGCGUGUGUGAAGAAGGUCUUCGGAUUGUAAAGCACUUUAAGUUGGGAGGAAGGGCAGUAAAUUAAUACUUUGCUGUUUUGACGUUACCGACAGAAUAAGCACCGGCUAACUCUGUG
rnacentral:rRNA from 1 species